rnacentral:rRNA from 1 species
UACGUAGGUGGCAAGCGUUGUCCGGAUUUACUGGGUGUAAAGGGCGUGCAGCCGGGAGUUCAAGUCAGAUGUGAAAUCCCGCGGCUUAACCGCGGAACUGCAUUUGAAACUGAAUUUCUUGAGUACCGGAGAGGUCAUCGGAAUUCCUUGUGUAGCGGUGAAAUGCGUAGAUAUAAGGAAGAACACCAGUGGCGAAGGCGGAUUACUGGACGAUAACUGACGGUGAGGCGCGAAAGCGUGGGGAGCAA